AUUGGUCAGUGCCGUAGUGGGCCCUGCCCACUAGCAACCAACCGUCAAGAAAUGAUGGUUAGUGAGGAGAUUCAGACAACAGUGGAGCGGUGGUUGUGAGGUGAAGAGUGAGUGAGCCCUGAGAAGUGUCUUUGAUGGCCUCACACCAGCCAUUCCAAGAGAACUGCCUCUCAAGCAGCUGACACCAGUAGAAAGAUGGCUCUGCUGAGAUAAGCUCUUAAUUAAUGCACUGAGAGCUUACGAGUCCCACCUCUCAACAGGAAUGAUUGACGUCCAAGGAUACAUAAAUUACAGUAAUUGAGCCCUGCCUCUACCCAGACUUCCUACAGCCAACUCAUCAGAGAAGCUAGUUAACGGACAACUGAACAUCCUUUCAUUGUACUACAUGGACCCUACCUUUGGAUUUAAGUCGUGCAGAGGUCCCUGAAUUAGUAUCCGCUUUUGUCUUCAUCUGUGUUGGGUAAUCAAAGUGCUGAUGCCUGACAGAAAAUCAUAAGUCAUUAUGAGAUGGAGCGCAGUCAGCAUGGAGAUGUCCAGGGCCACCCUGCCUGGAAUGGAACCAUUAAUAUAAUAGCCUAUCACUCAAGCUAAUAAAAUCAGCUUUUACUCUAUUCUGUUUCUGAACAUGGACCAUCAGUUCCAAGUUUCCAAUGACUACAUUUCAUCACAAUCAUACUAUUAUUAGCCAAUACAUGAAUGAGCAUAGCAAAAGACAUGCUGGUCAUCCUCUACCACUGCAAUGUACAAAGAACCUCAGAAAACUCUUCUCCAGUCUUUGAAACACACCGCUUAUCAUACAAUUAUUGCUUCAGUUACUUAAUAGACUUCUUAUACUGUUUCUUCAUUUAGAAUUUAUAUAACUCUUUAGAUGCAGGAUUGUUCACUUAACUGUGCAUUUCAUUUUUCUCCUACUGUUUGAUAUCUGGGUUAACUUCUUG
ensembl:lncRNA